rnacentral:rRNA from 1 species
GGCGAACGCUGGCGGCGUGCUUAACACAUGCAGGUCGAACGAGAAUCUGCUGAAGGAGGAUUCGUCCAACGGAAGCAGAGGAAAGUGGCGGACGGGUGAGUAACGCGUGAGGAACCUGCCUUGAAGAGGGGGACAACAGUUGGAAACGACUGCUAAUACCGCAUGACGCAUAGAGGUCGCAUGAUCUUUAUGCCAAAGAUUUAUCGCUUCAAGAUGGCCUCGCGUCUGAUUAGCUGGUUGGCGGGGUAACGGCCCACCAAGGCGACGAUCAGUAUCCGGGCUGAGAGGUUGAAAGGCCACAUUGGGAAUGAGAUACGGCCCAGACUCCUACGGGAGGCAGAAGUGGGGAAUAUUGGGCAAUGGGCGCAAGCCUGACCCAACAACGCCGCGUGAAGGAAGAAGGCUUUCGGGUUGUAAACUUCUUUUAAGAGGGAAGAGCAGAAGACGGUGCCUCUAGAAUAAGCCACGGCUAACUACGUGCCAGCCGCCGCAGUAA